AGUGAAUGCUGGCGGUAGGCCUAACACAUGCAAGUCGAACGGCAGCACAGUAAGAGCUUGCUCUUACGGGUGGCGAGUGGCGGACGGGUGAGGAAUACAUCGGAAUCUACUUUUUCGUGGGGGAUAACGUAGGGAAACUUACGCUAAUACCGCAUACGACCUACGGGUGAAAGCAGGGGAUCUUCGGACCUUGCGCGAUUGAAUGAGCCGAUGUCGGAUUAGCUAGUUGGCGGGGUAAAGGCCCACCAAGGCGACGAUCCGUAGCUGGUCUGAGAGGAUGAUCAGCCACACUGGAACUGAGACACGGUCCAGACGCCUACGGGAGGCAGCAGUGGGGAAUAUUGGACAAAGGGCGCAAGCCUGAUCCAGCCAUACCGCGUGGGUGAAGAAGGCCUUCGGGUUGUAAAGCCCUUUUGUUGGGAAAGAAAAGCAGCAGGUUAAUACCCCGCUGUUCUGACGGUACCCAAAGAAUAAGCACCGGCUAACUUCGUG
rnacentral:rRNA from 1 species